CAACCACUCGUUGUGUAACCUCUAUAACUACAACCUUGUUGAGACUAUGUUUUUAGAUUGAUAAUGUAAGACAUAAAAUGUCUAAACAAACAUCUGGCAGUAGUCAGAAGGAGAAACCUUGACAUUUUUUGCACGAAUGAGCCAUUACAUACAUAAAUGUAAUUAUAACGUAUCAUAGCUAAUUAUAAGGUACAAGAUAUCUUUAGUAUUUUCUGUUUUAAAAACUAAUCGUACCGUAUCGUCUGCUGUCAAUAUAAAGCGGCAACACCAUGAUUGUAAAUAUAUAAAUCUUUAAUCUAAUUAGCAUGCUCUGGAUAGGAAAUCGUUACAAAAUUUGCAGAUAUACGCUGUUUCAAUUAGCAUUUAAUUUUAAAUCCAUAUCAAUAUGCAAGCGUUAAUGAAAACUGAGCGAUAAUGUAAGCUUUUUAAUACGAAAACCAGAAUGUAAAAUAAAGGUUGUAUUUGUAAAGGAGUGUUUUCUGAAGCUAGCCUGACUGUUAUGAUGAUAACAACUCUGAUCAAGUAAAAUAAACAUAUCAUAGACAGGUGUUGUGUACUAUAGCUACAUUAUUUUAUAGACAAGUGGGCAUGUAAUUACUACAGAGAGGAAGAAGCUAAAUAGACGGAUGGUAGUAAUAGACAGGUUAAAGAUAUAGAAAGGCGAUAGCUAUAGACAGGUAGUAGUUAUAGACAGAUAAUAGCUAUAUAGCUAUAGAAAGGUGAUAGCUAUAGACUUAUGGUAGUUAUAGACAGGUUAAAGAUAUAGAAAGGCGAUAGCUAUAGACAGGUAGUAGUUAUAGGCAGAUAAUAGCUAUAUAGCUAUAGAAAGGUGAUAGCUAUAGGCUUACGGUAGUUAUAGACAGGUAAAAAAUAUAGAAAGGUGAUAGCUAUAGACAGGUAGUAAUUAUAGACAGGUAAUAGAUAUAGAAAGGCGAUAGCUAUAGACAGGUAGUAGUUAUAGACAGAUAAUAGCUAUAUAGCUAUAGAAAGGUGAUAGCUAUAGACUUAUGGUAGUUAUAGACAGAUUAAAGAUAUAGAAAGGUGAUAGCUAUAGACAGGUAGUAAUUAUAGACAGGUAAUAGAUAUAGAGAUGUGAUAGCUAUAGACUGGUGGUAGUUUUAGACAGGCAAUAUAUAUAGAGAGGUGAUAUCAAUAGACUGGUGGUUGUUAUAGACAAGUAAUAGUUACAGAUAUUUGAUAUCUAUAGACUGGUGGUAGUUAUAGACAGGUAAUAUUUACAGAGAGGUGGUAGUUAUAGACUGGUGGUAGUUAUAGACAAGCUAAGGUUAGGUUAGGAAUUGAACAAUCUUCUUCACCGGACUAAAAAAAAUACAAUACAUAGUACAUGCUGAUACUAAUGAAAUUAACAAAAUGUACAAUGUAUCAUAAAAAACAAAUACAGCUAAAUUUCAUUAAAUUUCAUCAGUUCAUAUUGAAAAUUCGUCUCUGUAAUUGUAAACCAGGUCUUGGUUAUCCCAAAACUUGUCAGGUCUAUUUCAAAACAGUUUGUAUUUGGCACAAAUAUCACAGAAUCUCGUAUAUUGUUCCAAAGGCAUGUGAUAGUUUUGUACAGGUGGUAGGUAAAGACAGGUGGUCGCUAUAGACUGUUGGUAGGUAAAGACAGGUUGUAGCUUUAGAGAGGAAGUAGUUAUGGACAGAUGGUAGCCUUAGACAGAUGGCGUAAGUUGUUAUUUUGACCGGUGCUAUUGCCAGGUAAUAGAGUGUAGCUUUAAAUGUUGGAGAUACAUGUAGCUAUAGAAAAGAUUAUUUAUUUAAAGGUUCGUUUGACUUUCAUAAUAUACUCGGGAUAGUUAUUGACGCUAUUUCAUACAAAUUGAACUGCAGUUGUAAACAAAUGAUGUCUAUUUCUGGUUUGACUGUACGUCUAAACUCAGGUUAAAGCCAUAGACAAGCAUUACUUUAUAAGACUUUGGCGGUAGUAAAAUGAUGUCUAUUUCUGGUUUCUGGCAAACAAAAAGAAUAGGGAAAGAUGUCACACACGAAUACAGCUAGCUUUAUUCAAUGAGAAUGAUGACAUGAUUGCUCGUCAAUGGACACCGUCUUAUGCAGUUAAUUUAACGAUUGGUUGUUUAUGCACACAUUCUAAGGCAGGUAAUAUAAAGAUUUGUUGUUUAUGCACGCAUUCUAAGGCGGGUGAUAUAACGUUUUGUUGUGCAUGCACACAGUCUAAGGCAGGUACUAUAAAGGUUGGUUGUUUAUGUACACAGUCUUAGGCAGGUAAUAUACAGAUUGGUUGUUUAUGCACACAGUCUAAGGCAGGUAAUAUAAAUGUUGGUUGUUUAUGCACACAGUCUAAGGCAGGUAAUAUAAAGAUUGGUUGUUUAUGCACACAGUCUAAGGCAGGUAAUAUAAAGGUUGGUUGUUUAUGCACACAGUCUAAGGCAGGUAAUAUAACGAUUUGUUGUUUAUGCACACAGUCUUAGGCAGGUAAUAUAACGAUUUUUUGUUUAUGUACCCAGUCUAAGGCAGGUAAUAUAAAGACAUUUGCUAAAUACAGACAGUACGUGAAUCACAUUUUACCUUAUUUUUUUUUUUUCAUUUCCUUUUUUUUUUUUUUGUAAAUUUUUGGGAACAUUUUUAAAACAAAAUAAUUUUCAAAGCAAUAAUUAAUGAAACGACAAAUUAUAUAAACAAAAAUGUUGCUGACAGUUCUCAUGACAGUUGUUUGAUACAUGUAUGUACUCCUCUAGAAA